GUCGGUGUCGUCAAGUAGCCGCAAAAGUCAAUACUCCCAUGAAAUGCGACGUUUGUGGCGUUGGCCUGUCUUCACUGGAAAAAAGUGGAGCACCACAUCGCAGCGCACAAAUUCGCCGCCGACUACGUGCAGCAGGCGUUCCACAAAGAUAAAGAAUUCAGUGAAUGGAAAGCUCAGGAAGAGGCGAACUGUUGGUUUGUUCUUCACACGGCUCCCAAAAAGCUGGCCAGUGGGGAAACGAGGAGCCACUACUACUCUAAUAGAUCAGGAGUGGCUAGGCCAAAGGAAGGUCAUGGUAAUCGUCGAGAAAAAAAGUCAGGGUACCUGCAAGUCCGGUAAGAUAUGUCUCAUUUAUUACUGUGACAAAGAAGGAGAACACUCAGAGCCCGGCACCUGAAGGUAUCACCAUAAAUGUAAGGCACCAAAGAAAGCAUUAUGGCCAUAAAGCAGAAAUUCAGCACUUGAGGAUGAGUGACAAAGAAAAGGCCAACGGGGUUAACCAACGUAGCAGAGGACCUGGAGCGUGGUGUGCCCAUGAAAACCAUAUUGAAUAAUAUAAGAACAUCUGUUGGGGGCAUGUAAGCUGAGGCCAGCACAUUUGGCAGAACGCAUAACUCUGCAUAACAUCAAACGGCAGUUUCACAUUGCUGCUCCUGAACAGUGUCACACCAAUGAUGCUGUCAGUGUAGAUAUGUGGGUGAAAGCAAUGUAGGACAAAGGUGAAACACUUGUCUGUCUGUAUAAGGCACAAGGUGCAGUGGACCCAACUGGUACUUUUGUUGCAACAGAUUUUGCCCUUGCUUUGAUGACAGAGCCACAAAAAGAGCUGUUAGAAGAAUUGGGCAUGGGCAGUGUGUCUUGACUCAACACAUGGAACUACAGGGUAACAGUUUGAGCUGACCACUCUUCUAGUGCUAGAUGAAGUGGGAUAAGGUAUACCUAUAGCCUAUUUCAUCUGCAACAGGAUGAAUGAGGAAAACUUGGCAGCUUUUUCAGGUCUCUUGAGUGUGCCAUCAACGAAAAAGUGGCUGCUAAGACAUUUAUGUCUGAUGACGCCUCACAAUUUUACAAGGCAUGGUCGUCAGUUAUGGGUGUCCCUCAGCAGAAACUUCUCUGCACCUGGCAUGUGGAUAGGAAUUGGCAGAAGAAGAUACAUGAGUUUGUAGAAAAACAACUGAGGCCAGACGUGUACCACAACGUGCGACUCCUUUUAGAGUUCCUUGACCAGCAAGAAUUUGAAAAGUAUCUGUAUCUUCAAUCAUUCCUUGACACUGAGGAAGAAAAACUGAGGGAUUUUCUGAAGUACUUCAAGGACAACUAUGCAGUUAGACCUCAAGAGCGGGCCUACUGCUUUAGGACGAGGGCAGGUAUCAACACCAACAUGCACCUUGAGAGCAUGCACAGGACGAUGAAGCACAGCAUGCUGGAGGGAAAGAAGAAUAAGCGUGUUGAUAAACUAAUUUCUGCACUCAUGGACUUGACAUAUCAUUUUUUGAUGAAGAGGGCAAUCCAGAUGAUCAAAGGGCAAGAAGUUGAGUGCAGUUGAAAGGUACCACAGAUCUGGCACUGAAAUGGCAGGUUGUGCCAAAUUAAACGAAGACAGCACGUGGACUGUGCCAUCUCAGUCUACUAAAGGGCACUCUUAUACAGUGACAAAAGUCGGGGAUGCUGCUUGCUGUCCCUUGAGAUGCAAUGAAUGUGCAGUGUGUGCGCACCUGAUACACUUCAAAGUGUGCAAGCACAUUCACUGUGUGGUCAUUGCUAACACAUUGUCAAGCACUGACAAUAACGACUAUGAGAGCCCACCUGAAACAGUAACUGAAACGAGUCGGGCAUUGCACAUAGUGCAAAGCAUUGCAAAGGUGGAGGCGGCCACAACAGUGCCGAGCCAAAAGUCAUGGAUCGAUCUCGGCCGCGGCGGUCACAUUUCGAUGGAGGCGAAAUGGUAGAAGCCCGUGUACGUACGAUGGCAGUGCACGUUAAAGAACACCAGAUGGUCUAUAGAACACCAGAUGGUCAAAAUUUCCGGAGCCCUCGACUACAGUGUGCCUUUACCUACCUCGUGGUUUUGGCACGUAAAACCCCAGAAAUUAUUAUUAUUAUUGCCAAUGAUGACCACAUGCCUCAACAAAUAUGAAAAGUACUAUGUGUUGAUGUUGGCACUGGACCGAGGUUUCCACUAAAUAUAAAAUUUAAGUCACUCAUAUGUCUCAUCUGCUCUAUCUGACACAACUGCUGCUGUAAUUAAUAAUUGACUGGAAUGCAAAGUGUUCGAUUGGUGAAUGUGCUGACCUGCCCAUUUCUCACUUAUGAUUUCUCAUUUCAGAUAUUGUAUUACUGAUUGUAGAGGUGUUAAAUGACAUUGAUUUCCCAAAGCUAUGGAGGAACCAAACCAGCAUUUUAAUAAAGCCUUAUUGUCAAAGCUUAACCUGGUUGUGUCUUCCUGUGUUGAUAAUGCAUACUUGUGCACGCGGUUUCUGCACUACAUUCAUUACAGUAAUGCAAUGCAGUUUCAUUUCAAGCCACGAGGACAGAGUCAGAAUCGAUUUAGAUCUGUUUCUUUCUUUAUGAAUGCUUAGAUUAUUAUUGUUGUUGUUGUUGUUAUUAUUAUUAUUAUUAUUAUUAUUAUUAUUAUUAUUAUUAUUAUUAUUGCAGCGGUAUUUGCACACGUUUUCUGGCUACGGCGCGAAUCCUUUAUUACAGAGGAGAGCUCGAUCAACAUCGACAUCGUCUGCAAUGGCGGAUUGUUUAUUUGCAAUUUGCAGCGUUUGCGCGAUGUAAAUUGUUCUUUCGCUAGUUUCUUGUACGCGGUAAUGUUAACAUUAACGCUCGCUAUCGAGUUUAGGGUAUGUUUUCUCACACGUGAAGGUGUGGUGCCUUUUUCACCCGUGAAUAUUCGUACUCGACGCCGCUCGCCUACCACAGCAGUUCAUCCGCCUUGGUGCAGUUGGCCUGCCUUGCAAACUCAUAAACGGCAUUGUGUGUUGCUGCCAUGUCUUCCGUUACUUUCUCUCAGUAGCAUGAACGAACUAUCCGCACCCGUUUUGUCUGCACUACAACGGAGAUGCCUCAACUUCAGCCUAUGUUAACCCCCACUGCCUUUCAAGGAACUAUGUCAACAAUGCCAGCACUAUGUGCUGCUGGGCCUCAUAACAUAAGCUUGCUCAGUGGCACAAACUGUCCAUAUACUUUUGCCCCACAAUGCAACUGUGCCAUUCUCAGUGGUCCGUAUUGGGAAGCACUCCAGAUCUACAAACACUAUGAUGUGCUGUUGACUGCUAGAAAAUGACUCGUUUAUAACAGCGGAGUUUUGCACAACAUAGAAAGGGUUAUGAAUGUAAAAAUGGCCAUCCACUCCCAUUUGUUGCACAAAGCUACGAUAAAAUUCAUAUGGAUUUCUCACAAAGAACAGCAUUUUAGUUGGCGAAAAAUUUGACAUGGUCCACAGUUUGAACUCGAGAACGACUUUUUUUCGGGGUGGUCGCUCUACCAUUUAAGCUAACCAGUAUGCUAAUAAUAAAAGUGUGAGGGCAAAUUCAGUUUGAAGCGCAUGGACACUGAAUAUGACAAAUGAGUUCUGUGGAAAGCACAGUAGGUAUAAGUAGCUUAUAAGCAGCUGCAAGUAAUGUUUUUUCUUUCAAGUUUGAUUUUCAUAAAUAGAUAUUAACACAGAAUCUUCUGCUAAAAGCUGCUGCACGUUUCCACAGGACCCAUUUGCCAAAUUCUGUGUGCUUUGACUUUUCAACUAAUUGGCCCUUACACUGCCCAUUGCUAGCCUACUGGCUAUCUCAGUUGUAGAGAAACAGCCCUGGAAAGGUGUUGGUUCCAGGCUUGAGCCCAGGAACAGUACGAAUUUUUUGUUUUCCUUUCUGAGAAAUCAGUAUGGAUUUCCUGGUAGCCUUGUACAAAACAGGUGGAUGGCCAUUUUUCAAUUCAAAAUAACUUGUUCUCUACACAGAUGAUGUAUGCGAACACAACUGUGAUGCCUUGAAUCAUGUCUGGACGAGCUGGGCUUGGAGCAUGUAGCCAAAUGUGAUGGUAGGAGCUCCAAGUGAAUGUUCUCAAAUGUUCAUUGUUCCAGUGCUCCCAGAACGAGGAAAAAGCUGGGACACAGCACUGUGUGCCUUGGCUUCUUUCCUCGCACUGUGACAUAAUGAAGUAGUACCAACUAGCCCAGUUCAUUGCGCUCUAAAAUGUGUUUAGCUACUUGUGAUGCCGUUCAGACCAAUCUGCUUGGCACAUUCACAGGUAGCAAUAGAACAGAGGGCUGCCGAGAUAGCAAAGCCAUAAAUGCAAGGCCUGCGCGUGCACAUCUGAGCUUGCAGAGAUGGUGUCCUGCAUAGGUCACUUGCUUGAUGAAUGUGCAAUAAAUGCAAUUUUUUGGGCAAUAAAGGUGU